rnacentral:lncRNA from 1 species
AAGUGGAAUUUAUUAAUCAUAGAACAUAUAUUUUCUUUUGGUAGGCAGUAUGAUGUAUUGUCAAAUAUUUUUCCUAAGUUAUUAUACCAGUUAACACUCCUAAGUUCCUAUGCUUUGAAAGUACACUUCUCCUCUGCAGUAUUUUUAUUCUAGAUUUGGUGAUAUUAAUGUGCAUGUGGAGAUAUUUUCUAGUUCAUCUCAGAUUUUACAUGUGCACCCAUUGUUGCAUUUCACAUUCAUUCAGUGAGGAUUCAGAGGUGCAUAUUUGCCUUGUCAUAUGUUUAGGGGUUUAAUAGUCAAAAUUGCUCCUAGGAAUUAAAAGGAAACUACCUGUUCGUUUGAAAAAAUACAGUAUUAAUCACAAUAAAGUUUAUUUAGAGAUGUUUGAUUUUAUGACUUACUCCUAAGUGUGGUAUUUAAUUCAUACCUACAAUGGAACCAGAAGUAUGAAUUAACUCAGGGAAGAUCUAGAUACUGUAUCUGGUGUUAUUUUUGCAAUAGGCUGAAUUGCAUUUUAUGGCUGCUGUUUUCUCUUCUGUAUCCUUUGAGAGGAAGCAAUACCUCAAUAUAUUAAACACUGCCUAGAUCAUCAGCACUGAGCAUUUUAAUUCUGUCAACUGUGUAUAUAGCAUUUGGUUAAAAAAGAAUGGAAACUUAGGACUUAAACGUCUUAGUUCACAAAAUGGUUCAUUCAAGUAGCCUACCUGCUUGGGCUGGAGGGUGCUACAGCUAAUAAUGAUAUUCUCAAUAUGAGCAAAAGAACUAUCAAAGAGCACUUAGAAUCAGUCUAGAAAAGCCUGUUACGCUGGAUUUUCAAAUGCUAGAAUUUUCUUCCCUUUUAGACAAAGCUAUAUCAGUCCAUUCAUUCAUUCAUCCAUCCUUCACUUGCACAAUGAUUCAACAACAACUUACUGAGUGCUAUGUGUGAAGCUCUGUUCUAGAUACUAGAGGUAUAGCAGGGAAAAAAGCAAUCAUAGAGUUUGCCUUCUUAAGGAUAAACAAGAAAGAAAAAUAUUGUAUACCUAUUGUCUGUCAUGUGGGCUCUGAAGGGAAAUGAAAACAGUAAGGGGUAUGGGAGUAUAGGUUUGGUGUUGGGAAUUGAUGUUGCUUUUUAUAAAGGGAAGGUCAGGGAAAGCCUUUUGGUCAAUGACAUUUGUGCAGAGAGCUGAGGGAUGGAGUAGUGUAGAUGCCCACUUGAAGGAGGGUAAGCUAAGUGAAGGAGGGAGCAUGCCUGGCCAGUUGAGGGACAGUAAGGAGGCGUCUAUAGUUGAAGGCAUUGAGGUUGGGGUGGGGGGGCGGCGGAGCAAUUAGAAAUGGGCAAGCAGAGGAAUGGCAGGGACCCAGAUAGGGCUCAGUAGGUCCUUGUAAUGGCCUUGCCCUUUUCUCUGAGUGGGAACCCACCAAAGGAUUUUGAAGAGGGAAGUGACUAUUCAUGUCUUAUUUCAAGGAUGACCUUGAACAUUGGGUAUAGAAUUGACUGUAGGAACAAGGGUAGACACACAAAAAUGAGUGAAGAUUUCUAACAGGUAUGUUCAGGUAAGAACCAAAUGGCAUAGAUGUUUGAUUUUGUGGUUAUCACCAUCUCUGUACUUUGUUGGUAAAGAUAACCAUUGUAUUUAUCCAGACAUGAACAAUGGUGGCCCAGUAGAAAUGAUUUAGUAAUAUACAAAUUAGCAAUAUGCUAUGGAUAUUAUAAAAAUUAGCUCUAUACUUAAUGCUUUUUUUCUACCCAUCUAAUACAGAUUUUCUUCUGGAAGCUCUUGUUUUUAUUUAAAAUGUUUGUACCAUUCUUUCAGUUGCUCCUGAACUUCAGUCAUUUGUGACUUCUCUCUUCAUCCUUUGUACAUCCAAGCAGUCAGGGUUAUUAUCUUCCUCUCUCCACAUCCUCUUCAGUUUUUUGCCGUUCUCAACUUUAGACCCUCCUUUCAUCUUGGAAUUAACUUGCAGAUUUUCAUCUUUAAUUCAAAGGGAAAGCAACAAAAUGAAUAUAGGUUUUGAAGUGAGAUCUUGAUGCUAAUUGGUCCAGAUCUGUGUUCCUCCAUGUAGGGCCUUUUGCAGUUUUUGAAACUCAGUUGUCUCUUUGUAAAAUGAGAGCAGCAGUAUCUGCUUUACAGGAUUACAGUGAGAAGUGGGACUAGAGAGUGUUUAAAGAGCCUGGAAGCAUUGGGCACUUAGAAAAGGUUGGUUCUUUCUACAUUAUAUCCUUCCUCUAUCUGUGAUCCAUCUGUCAGGCCCUAAAGCAUAGCUCUUACUGUGUCAUUUCUCUUGUCAAAAACCUUCAUUGGCUCCCUAUUGCCCCACAUGUUAAAUGCAGCACUUUUGCCUGGCAUUCAGAACUUUUGCCUGCCAUUUGGAACUCCAAUUCUCAGACUCCAACUUUAAUUUAUCUCUCUAUGAAAAUCGUACCUGUCUUCAAAUUCUGUCUGAAAUACUAUUGUACUCACAAAGGUAUGAACAGUCUGGAUGUGGUUUCUCCUAGUCUGCAUGUCGAGGGCGCUACCUCAUGUCCAUGCUCUGGAGCCAGAAAGACCAGGUCCCACUAUGUCUUGUCACCCUGGCUGCAUUACUUAAUCCCUGCGUCUCAGUUUCCCCUGCAAAGUGGAAUAGUGAUACCUACUUGAUAGGGUUAUGGUGGGGAUUAAAUGAGAUUCUAUAGGUGAUCCACUUUGAAUAGUGUCUGGCACUUGGAAAGCUUAAGUCAGUUUCUAUUAAUUAUAGGUAUGAAUAAUCUACCUUAUUUCAUGAGCAGAAUCUGUGUUUUACAGGGCCUUCAAAUUAAAAGUUGUUUGAGAUACAGUGAAAAGGGCAGGGACUAGGAUUCUCAUACUGGAUUCUAGUACUGGUUUCCACUAUUAAAUAAGCUAUGUGAUGCUGACUGCCAGCCUCCCUGGAUCUUUCUUCCUUCAGUUGCAAAAAGAGGGCUGAACAAAAAUCACUAAGCUCUCUUUCAGUUCAGAUAGACACAUGGAUAUCUAAUGAACACUUCCAACUCAAAUCAACCAAAACAGAACUCUUAAUUUUUACUCCUCUAAAUGUACUUUCUCUAUCCCAGUAAAUUAUACUGCCCUCUACCCAAUUUAAGUAAAACAUCCAUGAGCUGCCUUGGAAUUAUCUAUUUCUUUUGCCAUCUAAAUCUAAUCUGUCUGCACAUCCUAUUGGUUUGCUUUACAAAACAUAUCCUGAAUCCAUCUACUUCUCCCUGUCAUCACAGGUAGAAUCCUAGAUAGAAAAUACUCUCUUACCUGAAAUGUUGCCAUAGGUUCCUAAUCCAUCUUUCUCUCUCCACUCUUGCCCUCUUUCAGCCUAUCUUCCACAGAGCCAAAGUGAUAUUUAAAACUUAAACCAGAUAAUAUCAUUCUCCUGCUUGAAACUCCUCAGUUGCUUCUCAUAACACUUGUAAGAUCCAAACUCCUUUACCUCCUCAUACCACUCUCCCCCUUAUACUUCAGCUGUAGGGCCCUUUUUACUUUUCUUGCCAGCUGACCACACCCAUGUCUGCCUUGGAUCUUUGCACCUGCUAUUCUCUAUGGUUGGAAUAUUUAUCCCCCAGAUGUCAACAUGAUUGCUUCUUAUCAUUUAGAUCUCAGUUUUAUCUGAUUGGCCCCUCCUUCCUACCAGUGCUGCUCUAUUUUUUCCACUCCAUUUAUUCCUAAGAUUUGCCACUAUCUGAAAAUAGCCUACACAUUUAUCCUUCCCCACCCUCCAGGAGAAAUUAAAUGUCCUAAACAUUAGGUUCCCAUCAUGGCACAGUGGAAACGAAUCUGACUAGGAACCAUGAGGUUGCAGGUUCCAUCCCUGGCCUCAUUCAGUGGGUUAAGGAUCCCGUGUUUCAGUGAGGUGUGGUGUAGGCUGCAGACUUGGCUCAGAUCCCACGUUGCUAUGGCUGUGGUGUAGGCUGGCAGCUACAGCUCCGAUUUGACCCCUAGCCUGGGAACCUCCAUAUGCCA